UACGUAGGGGGCAAGCGUUGUCCGGAAUCAUUGGGCGUAAAGAGCGUGUAGGCGGUCCGGUAAAUCGGCUGUGAAAGUCCAGGGCUCAACCCUGGGAUGCCGGUCGAUACUGCCGGACUAGAGUUCGGAAGAGGCGAGUGGAAUUCCCGGUGUAGCGGUGAAAUGCGCAGAUAUCGGGGAGGAACACCUAUGGCGAAGGCAGCUCGCUGGGACGUUACUGACGCUGAGACGCGAAAGCGUGGGGAGCAAACAGG
rnacentral:rRNA from 1 species